rnacentral:tRNA from 1 species
GUCCCGUUCGUCUAGUGGUCUUAGGACUCAGGAUUUUCAUUCCUGCAACAGGGGUUCGACUCCCCUACGGGAUACCA